rfam:Aspergillus clavatus NRRL 1 1099423829805 genomic scaffold, whole genome shotgun sequence.
CCCCCGAUGGUCUAGUUGGAUAUGGCGUUCGGCUGUAACGUAAAGUGUAACCGAAAGGUCGCCGGCUCGAUUCCGGCUCGGGGGA